rnacentral:rRNA from 1 species
UAAUACGUAGGGUGCGAGCGUUAAUCGGAAUUACUGGGCGUAAAGUGUGCGCAGGCGGCGUCGCAAGUCGAGUGUGAAAUCCCCGGGCUUAACUUGGGAAUUGCGCUCGAAACUACGGUGCUGGAGUGUGGCAGAGGAAGGUGGAAUUCCACGUGUAGCGGUGAAAUGCGUAGAGAUGUGGAGGAACACCGAUGGCGAAGGCAGCCUUCUGGGCCAACACUGACGCUCAUGCACGAAAGCGUGGGGAGCAAACAGGAUUAGAUACCCUGGUAGUCCACGCCCUAAACGAUGAUGACUAGUUGUUGGGGGAGUUAAAUCCCUUAGUAACGCAGCUAACGCGUGAAGUCAUCCGCCUGGGGAGUACGGUCGCAAGAUUAAAACUUAAAUGAAUUGACGG